rnacentral:rRNA from 1 species
UCUACGGGUGGCAGCAGUAGGGAAUCUUCCACAAUGGGCGAAAGCCUGAUGGAGCAACGCCGCGUGGGUGAAGAAGGUCUUCGGAUCGUAAAACCCUGUUGUUAGAGAAGAAAGUGCGUGAGAGUAACUGUUCACGUUUCGACGGUAUCUAACCAGAAAGCCACGGCUAACUACGUGCCAGCAGCCGCGGUAAUACGUAGGUGGCAAGCGUUAUCCGGAUUUAUGGGGCGUAAAGGGAACGCAGGCGGGCAUGUAAGUCUGAUGUGAAAGCCUUCGGCUUAACCGGAGGAGUGCAUUGGAAACUGGGGGACUGGAGUGCGGAAGAGGAGAGCGGAACGCCAUGUGUAGCGGUGAAAUGCGUAGAUAUAUGGAAGAACACCAGUGGCGAAGGCGGCUCGCUGGUCUGUAACUGACGCUGAGGUUCGAAAGCGUGGGUAGCAAACAGGAUUAGAUACCCGAGUAGUC